GUCAGGCAGGGUGGCCCACGCCUGUCAUCCCAGUGGCUCGGAGGCUGAGGCAGGAGGAUCGCAAGGUGGAGGCCAGCCUCAGCCAAAGCGAGGCCCUAAGCAACUCAGCGAGACCCUGUCUCUA
rnacentral:sRNA from 1 species